rnacentral:lncRNA from 1 species
GGAAGAGCAGCUUGAGGGCUAGGUUCAGUCAUGUGGCAAUAAUUACUCACUGACUCAACUAUGUGCACUUGAGGAAGUCCCUGCAGAUUCAGAAUCACCUUCUGAGGAACAGGCUUGUCCUGAGCCCCCAGUUGAGAAGGUCCUAUGCUGCUGUGGAUGGAAACAUCAAGUUCUUGUUCAGACUGUGGAAUCCAACCCUUAGCCUCCUUUCUAAAUGAGCAGGAGCCCUGGGAGCUGCAAACAGACUGGGCACUGUGUCCAAGAAACCAGCUAACGUGGGCUGCAGUACAUGGAGGACAGCAGCUGGGAGCUGACUAAGGAGGACUCUGUGACUGGACUGCUUAGAUGGGCCCAGGAUCAGAAUUCAAGUCACUUUUACAAAACAGAACUAAAGAGGCCUUUGAGAAUUAUCUUGUCCAGUUCUUUAUCAGCAUCUCUAUCUAAAAGACACAGAUACCCGGAACUCAAGAUGGUCUUACUGAAUAAGAAAUCCCACAGGUUCUGUCUUCUUGGAUUGCUGUAUUUUUCAUCCAAACUGACACCUACUUUAAUUAUUCUGAACAGAGGAAAAUCUACCUUGUGUAUGUUGAAUUUAUGGCUACGUUUCAUGACAAUAAAAGUGCUAUGUGCUUUUUGACUUAGGUACACUUUUGGUACAUAGAAUCAUUGCUGUGGCUGAUGUUUGCUGAGUCCACUUCCGUUUGCCUCUCUACCUUGUGCAUCAGGAUUCUGACAGAAACUCUACAGUGGAAAGUGAUCAAAAGCAUUUAAUUAACCAGCUAUUAUUAACCUCUAAGACAAGAUCUCUUCUCCUUUUUCUGCCCUCUUGUUCUCCCCCAUGUCCUUGGCCUGACCCUGCCUCUUAAUUCCCAUUGUGGCUCCUCCUGCUUUGCAAUGAACAUUUAUUCAUCUGAAUGCAUUUGCAGCUUACAU